rnacentral:lncRNA from 1 species
CAGAAUAAUGAAAGAAACCAAUUGUGUUGAAAUUGUCACCAAAAUAUAUUUUUAAUAUUUCAGAAAAUUCAGAGAAUGAGCCUCGCGGUGACCCUGGGAAUGUUGUGGACGGUGCAGACAGUUUCUAGCUGUGUGACUCUGGGCAAGUCACUUAAUCUCUGUUGUCUAGUCCUUGCUGCUCUUCUCUGUCGUAGAAUUGGUACUAAAACAGAAGGUGAAGAAACUGAUCCAUAG